AUUGAACGCUGGCGGCAGGCCUAACACAUGCAAGUCGAGCGGAGCGGCGGACGGGCGCGUAAUGCCUAUGAAUCUGCCUGGUAGUGGGGUAUAACGUCCGGAACCGGGCGCUAAUACCACAUACUAUCAGAUCAGUCUAGGUCGGAUUAGCUAGUUGGUGGGGUAAAGGCCUACCAAGGCGACGAUCCGUAACUGUGCUGAGAGGAUGAUCAGUAACACUGGAACGGAGACAAGGUCCAGACUCCUACGGGAGGCAGCAAGGGGGAAUAUUGGAGAAUGGGCGAAAGCCUGAUCCAGCCAUGCCGCGUGUGUGAAGAAGGUUUUCGGAUUGUAAAGCACUUUAAGUUGGGAGGCGUUACCAACAGAAUAAGCACCGGCUAACUUCGUGCCAGCAGCCGCGGUAAUUC
rnacentral:rRNA from 1 species